GGGGUAGAUAACGCGGGGUCAAACCGCGACUUUUAACCUUUGACGAUCGACUCAUGUUGCCUCGGCGGGCUCGCCCGCCAGAGGAUACAUUAAAACUCCUGUUUUAACGGUGUCGUCUGAGCUAUAAGCAACGAAUCAAAACUUUCAACAACGGAUCUCUUGGUUCUGGCAUCGAUGAAGAACGCAGCGAAAUGCGAUAAGUAGUGUGAAUUGCAGAAUUCAGUGAAUCAUCGAAUCUUUGAACGCACAUUGCGCCCCUCGGUAUCCCGAGGGGCAUGCCUGUUCGAGCGUCAUUUCACCACUCAAGCCUGGCUUGGUGUUGGGCGACGUCUCCAUCGGGGACGCGCCUCGAAACGCUCGGCGGCGUGGCACCGGCUUUAAGCGUAGCAGAAUCUUUCGCUUUGAAAGUCGGGGGCCCCGUCUGCCGGAAGGCCUACUCGCAAGGUUGACCUCGGAUCAGGCAGGGAUACCCGCUGAACUUAAGCAUAUCAAUAAGCGGAGGAAGUCUUGGUCAUUUAGAGGAAGAAGCGUAUCUAUAACCGAAGGAGGUAUGCGUCUUGUUGAGUAAAAAAACAAAAGGAAAAAAAGAGAACGGAAGGUAUGCAUGAAUAGAGGAAAAAAACAUAAAGACGAGCAAAGAGGUAGGCGGCUAGGAGGAACAAGAGACGGAAUACAAACGUACAAGAGAACAGCACUGCGAAGGAGAAAGAUAUAAUAGAGA
rnacentral:misc_RNA from 1 species